AAGCUUGCUUCUCUGAUGUUAGCGGCGGACGGGUGAGUAACACGUGGAUAACCUACCUAUAAGACUGGGAUAACUUCGGGAAACCGGAGCUAAUACCGGAUAAUAUUUUGAACCGCAUGGUUCAAAAGUGAAAGACGGUCUUGCUGUCACUUAUAGAUGGAUCCGCGCUGCAUUAGCUAGUUGGUAAGGUAACGGCUUACCAAGGCAACGAUGCAUAGCCGACCUGAGAGGGUGAUCGGCCACACUGGAACUGAGACACGGUCCAGACUCCUACGGGAGGCAGCAGUAGGGAAUCUUCCGCAAUGGGCGAAAGCCUGACGGAGCAACGCCGCGUGAGUGAUGAAGGUCUUCGGAUCGUAAAACUCUGUUAUUAGGGAAGAACAUAUGUGUAAGUAACUGUGCACAUCUUGACGGUACCUAAUCAGAAAGCCACGGCUAACUACGUGCCAGCAGCCGCGGUAAUACGUAGGUGGCAAGCGUUAUCCGGAAUUAUUGGGCGUAAAGCGCGCGUAGGCGGUUUUUUAAGUCUGAUGUGAAAGCCCACGGCUCAACCGUGGAGGGUCAUUGGAAACUGGAAAACUUGAGUGCAGAAGAGGAAAGUGGAAUUCCAUGUGUAGCGGUGAAAUGCGCAGAGAUAUGGAGGAACACCAGUGGCGAAGGCGACUUUCUGGUCUGUAACUGACGCUGAUGUGCGAAAGCGUGGGGAUCAAACAGGAUUAGAUACCCUGGUAGUCCACGCCGUAAACGAUGAGUGCUAAGUGUUAGGGGGUUUCCGCCCCUUAGUGCUGCAGCUAACGCAUUAAGCACUCCGCCUGGGGAGUACGACCGCAAGGUUG
rnacentral:rRNA from 1 species